GGUUUAAAUGCCAAACACGUUUUCGUUUGAUGUGUUUGUUUACUUUCCUGCGAGAGUUUCAAUGCGAACAUUUGGUUGAAACCUCUGCUAGUUUCAUGCUCUGUUUUCAUGGUGUAGAUACAACCUCCGUCGCUCAGUUCCUUUGGAAUAUCAUGAGGAGUCUUUGGAUGAACUGUGUUUACUUCUGGGCAAGUGGCAUUUAAACCAUCUUUUGCAACAUGCCUAGCGCCUGAGGACGGCUGAAGUUAAGCUGAGCCAAGGGGCACCUACCAUUUGCCAACGGCGCGGUGUUGGAAGUCAACCAACUUAGCCAAGCUGAUUGAAAUCAACCUGUCUGAGUUAGUUCUCUUAGUUGGGGAGUUAUUUGGGUGGUAACGAAGCAGUGGACCAGGCAAUCAAUCGAGCACACCAUUGAGACAUGGAUCAACCUCCACUGAUUGACGGAGUAGUGCUGACUAAGAUUGACACCAUUGAUGAUAAAAUCUUGACUUCCACCAGCACCUCUGACGUACGGUGACUGGUGCUGCCAUAACGGAUCC